rnacentral:sRNA from 1 species
GUCAUUUUGCUGUGUCCCCUAGAGAAGGGUCCUAGUCUCUGAUCUCUGCCUCAAGCUUCUGGCUCAAGGCCAGGGCAGAAGUGGCACUGAGGACGCAUGGGCAGGACUGGGGUUCCUUGUUCCUGAAAUGGAAUGUCUCCUUUGCAGUCUGCACUGGCCAGAAGGCUUGAAGCGUGAAGAGAUAAAGAAGUGUGGCCGAGAAGGGAUAACACUGAAUAAAUACAACCAGCAAUACCACAAGCUGUUUAAGGAUGUUCCCUUGGAGGAAGUGGUUCUCAAAGUGUGUUCCUGUGCCCUCCAGAGGGACCUCCUCCUCCAGGGCCGGCUCUACAUCUCCCCCAACUGGCUCUGCUUCCAUGCCAGCCUCUUUGGCAAGGAUAUCAAGGUGGUCAUUCCUGUGGUGUCUGUGCAAAUGAUCAAAAAACACAAGAUGGCACGGCUCCUUCCCAAUGGACUGGCCAUCACCACCAACACCAGCCAGAAGUAUAUCUUUGUGUCACUGCUCUCCC